UGUUAGUUUCAACCGCUCUUUUGUGCGUAAUAAAGAAGUUUUUAACUCACGUACAAGGCGAGUCUAUACUUAAGG
rfam:Spiroplasma sabaudiense Ar-1343, complete genome.